GCAUCCUGCCUACCAGCUCCAUCUUGAUUUUCUUUUCACACAUUUCACACAGCCGUAAUUAGUUAGACAAACGAUCCAAGGGUAAAGGGAUAAGUCAUGUUUAAAAAAAGUUUCAUCCCAGUCUUUAAUAGAGAUGAUUCUAUGAUAUAUAUUGAUAUAUAUAUAUAUUUUGCAACUAAAACUGUCAGCAAUUUCAGCAUAUGUUAUGUCAAAACAUGAAACCUUGUGAGGUAUCCUGAAGAUUCCACUCAUGAAGACCCCCAUUUUGUGUGUAUAAAUUCUUGUCAUUUUUAAUCAAAGUCCACUAAACAAUUAUUAAUUAAGAAAAUCUUGGUAUGUAGACACGGAGCACUCUGCUUGACAAAGGCCGUCCUUCCCAGCACCUCUCCAUGAACACUC
rnacentral:lncRNA from 1 species